GAUGAACGCUAGCUACAGGCUUAACACAUGCAAGUCGAGGGGUCUUGACGGAGCUCGCUCUUGAUAGACGACCGGCGCACGGGUGAGUAACGCGUAUCCAACCUGCCCUUCAUAUUGGGAUAGCCUUCCGAAAGGGAGAUUAAUACCGAAUAACAUAUCAAGAUUGCAUGAUAUUGAUAUGAAAGAUCCGUCGAUGAAGGAUGGGGAUGUGUUUCAUUAGGUAGUAGGCGGGGUAACGGCCCACCUAGCCAACGAUGAAUAGGGGUUCUGAGAGGAAGGUCCCCCACACUGGAACUGAGACACGGUCCAGACUCCUACGGGAGGCAGCAGUGAGGAAUAUUGGUCAAUGGGCGCAAGCCUGAACCAGCCAAGUAGCGUGAAGGAUGACUGCCCUAUGGGUUGUAAACUUCUUUUUUACGGGAACAAAUGUUGCUACGUGUAGCAAUUUGCGUGUACCGUACGAAUAAGCAUCGGCUAACUCCGUGCCAGCCGCCGCGGUAAGAC
rnacentral:rRNA from 1 species